AUUGUUGAGCGAACCCAUGCAAUUAUAUUAUUAUUUGUCUUCUCGGUUUUAUUUCUCAAAUGUAAAAAUAGAUGCAAUGGAUGCUAAAUUAAUCUGAGCGUACUAGCUUGCUAACUUACAUUUUCAUCAUUCCUAGCCAUCGUACCCCAGUUGUGUUAACACAUGUAGCUUACAAACUAGCUACAUAGCUAACGAUAUGUGUCAGCAUUUUGUCAAUGUGGAUGUUCACUCAAUGUAGCGAAUGUUGGUGAUGAGCGAUGUGACAUUGCGCACUUGCAGUAAAAGCUUCGGAUUACGCCUCUGCAUCAUUAGUUGACGUCGGAAGCAAACGUUCAGUGUUGCGGCUCGCAAAAUGAACAAUGUGAAAUCUAGCGAGGCGGUUAGCUAGCUAAAUUAAAACAUGCAAGAUGUGUGUGUCUGUUUAGUGUGUCUAUUGUAAACAUAGCUUUACCUCUGUCUUGUGUGGAUUUGCAAAUAUGUGUGUGGUUGUUAUCAAACAAGAAAAUGUCGUCUGGAGCGUUGUUUCCAAGCUUGGUCUCCGGUUCCCGUGGAUCCUCUAGUAAAUACCUGGUUGAAUUCCGGGCUGGAAAAAUGACUCUGAAGGGGAGCACAGUUACCCCCGACAAACGGAAGGGCCAGGUCUACAUCCAGCAAACGGACGACUCCCUGAUUCAUUUCUGCUGGAAGGACCGAACGACUGGAAACGUGGAUGAUGACCUCAUAAUUUUCCCUGAUGACUGUGAGUUCAAAAGGGUUCCUCAGUGUACCACAGGACGUGUGUACGUGCUCAAGUUCAAAGCUGGCUCCAAGCGUCUCUUUUUCUGGAUGCAGGAGCCCAAGACGGAUAAGGACGAGGAAUACUGCAGGAAGGUGAAUGAGUACCUGAACAACCCACCCAUGCCUGGAGCCCUGGGCAGUGGGGGCAGUGGCAGCCAUGACCUCUCCGCACUGGGAGGAGAAGGUGGAUUACAGAGCCUUUUGGGUAAUAUGAGUCAUAAUCAGCUGAUGCAACUGAUUGGACCUACUGGGCUGGGAGGCCUUGGUGGCUUGGGAGCUUUAGCUGGUCCAGGCUUGGCAAGUUUACUGGGUAGUGGAGCUGCAGCCACUAGUAGCUCCUCAUCUAGCUCCCGCAGUCAGUCCACUGCCGUCACACCCUCCUCGACCUCUGCCACCACCCGUCUGGGCUCCUCCCAGGUGCCCACCACCCCCUCGGCCACCACCGCAGCAUCUCCAGCCGCUACGCCCACAACACCGUCGGGCCCCGCCCCGGCUGCCGAGGCAAGUAGCCCCAUCCAGCUGAGCGACCUCCAGAGCAUCCUGGCCACCAUGAACGUGCCUGCCAGCGGCCAGGGAGUGGAUCUGGCGAGUGUUUUGACCCCUGAGGUGAUGGCUCCCAUCCUGGCCAACGCUGAGGUCCAGCAGAGACUCCUGCCCUACCUGCCCUCAGGAGAGUCCCUCCCGCAGAGUACAGAUGAGCUCAACAACACACUCACGUCACCACAGUUCCAGCAGGCUAUGAGCAUGUUCAGCAGCGCACUCGCAUCUGGCCAGCUGGGGCCACUCAUGAACCAGUUUGGUCUGCCCUCAGAAGCAGUGGACGCAGCCAACAAAGGAGACGUGGAGGCGUUCGCUAAAGCUAUGGAGACUGAGCCGAAGUCUGACCAGGACGGUGACCCUAAAGACAAGAAGGACGAUGAUGAAGACAUGAGUUUAGAUUAGGCCCUUCUCUUAUCUUUUAUCUGGCUUCUGUCAUUUUAUCCCCCUUCCUGUCCUUUUUUGAGAGAGUUUCAGUGGAUCGUGAUGAAGUGUUCCAAAAUGACAUGUUCGUGUGUGUGCUCCGAAUAAAUAUAACUUAAGUGA